rnacentral:rRNA from 1 species
UGGCGGACGGGUGAGUAAUGUCUGGGAAACUGCCCGAUGGAGGGGGAUAACUACUGGAAACGGUAGCUAAUACCGCAUAGUGUCUACGGACCAAAGCGGGGGACCUCCGGGCCUCGCGCCAUCAGAUGAACCCAUAUGGGAUUAGCUAGUAGGUAAGGUAACGGCUUACCUAGGCGACGAUCCCUAGCUGGUCUGAGAGGGUGAUCAGCCACACUGGGACUGAGACACGGUCCAG